GCUGGGCGUGGUGGUGCAUGCCUGUAAUCCCAGCUACUCAGGAGGCUGAGGCAGGAGAAUUGCUUGAACCUGGGAGAUGGAGGGUGUAGUGAGCUGAGAUCAUGCCACUGCAUUCCAACCCGGGUGACACAGCAAGACUCUGUCUCAA
ensembl:misc_RNA Metazoa_SRP Metazoan signal recognition particle RNA